AGAGUUUGAUCCUGGCUCAGGAUGAACGCUAGCUACAGGCUUAACACAUGCAAGUCGAGGGGCAGCGAUGAAGAAAGCUUGCUUUCUUCAGGCGGCGACCGGCGCACGGGUGAGUAACGCGUAUCGAACCUGCCUCAUACUCAGGAAUAGCCUUGCGAAAGUAAGAUUAAUGCCCGAUGUUAUUAGAGUAUCACAUGAUGUUCUAAUUAAAGAUUUAUCGGUAUGAGAUGGCGAUGCGUCCCAUUAGCUUGUUGGCGGGGUAACGGCCCACCAAGGCAUCGAUGGGUAGGGGUUCUGAGAGGAAGGUCCCCCACAUUGGAACUGAGACACGGUCCAAACUCCUACGGGAGGCAGCAGUGAGGAAUAUUGGUCAAUGGACGCAAGUCUGAACCAGCCAAGUAGCGUGCAGGAAGACGGCCCUCUGGGUUGUAAACUGCUUUUAGUUGGGAAUAAAGUGCACCACGUGUGGUGUUUUGUAUGUACCAUCAGAAAAAGGACCGGCUAAUUCCGUGCCAGCAGCCGCGGUAAUACGGAAGGUCCAGGCGUUAUCCGGAUUUAUUGGGUUUAAAGGGAGCGCAGGCGGACCUUUAAGUCAGCUGUGAAAUACGGCGGCUCAACCGUCGAACUGCAGUUGAUACUGGAGGUCUUGAGUGCACACAGGGAUACUGGAAUUCAUGGUGUAGCGGUGAAAUGCUCAGAUAUCAUGAAGAACUCCGAUCGCGAAGGCAGGUAUCCGGGGUGCAACUGACGCUGAGGCUCGAAAGUGCGGGUAUCAAACAGGAUUAGAUACCCUGGUAGUCCGCACAGUAAACGAUGAAUACUCGCGAUUUGCGAUACACAGUAAGUCGCCAAGCGAAAGCGUUAAGUAUUCCACCUGGGGAGUACGCCGGCAACGGUGAAACUCAAAGGAAUUGACGGGGGCCC
rnacentral:rRNA from 1 species